GUUCUAUAAGUUGACAUAAGUCGUUUUGUCAUGAAUGAAAUGGCAAGGGCAAUAAAGGUAUAUAAAGCCGCGGUCAGUGUUUCACCUUUUGACGUGGCAGUGAAUCAAACAGGGCAAAAUGAAGACAAUUGUGGCGCUAUUUUUUAUUUGUGUGUGUUAUAUUGGUGGUGUUGAAAUGUUUGCACUUAACUGCCCGUUGGGAAUUGUCAAUUGCUUCGUUGACCCGUGUGAGAUUGCACAGCAAAAUGGAUGUUACGGACACCCGAAUGCAGUAUGCCAGUCUGAUUACUGCGGUGGAUGCCACGCUAGAUGGUACGAGAACGGACACAUUGUCAUCUGCGGAACUCAAUCGAUCGGUUAAACAUGUCACAUCUCUUGAAUUCAACUUAAUAAAAUUGCACCAUUGA